UAGUGCACACAGCAAGCAUGUUGACUCCUAUGGAACGUCAUCACAAAAGGCGAAUGAAGGUGGCUUUCUACGAGCUCGUACAGGGUGCAGCAAUUACUAAGAAACUGUUAAAGCUCAAGUUCUGCAUUCCCAUGAGUUGCCCUCACCCCUUGUACUGAAGCUCCUGUCUUGCACGUUACUUGUAUGUUUGUACAAGUGUCAGUGCAGCUUUCCGUUACCCAUCCCGUGAAGCGUGGAUGUUACAGUACUCCUGUGGGCAAGCAAGCAUACGUCCCAAGUUCCGAUAUGUCACCAUAUUAUUUUAUCCAAUCCUGACAUACUGGAAAAUUGUGCUGUGGGCCACACUUUCAUUCCUAACAAGCGGUCGUUAUUGCUGAUGUUGUUCUUACUCAUUGGAUGCAAGCCUAUAUUUUGUGUAUGUAUGUUUGCAUGUUUGUUCCUUUACGAAUAGGUUCAAUGCUUCCAAAGUGAAGCUAUCAAGAGCACAUUGCCACACGAGUCAUUCCCACAGCGCUACGCAGAGGCGUAUGCAGCCGAGCUCGAUCACUUCAUAGACGUGCUAAGUGGAAGCGUGCCGCGCAUAAGUGUUACCCGGGAGGAUGUCCGUUGGGUGUCUGAGAUCGCGACGGCCUGUGGUACAUCGCUACGAUCCGAAUGCCCAGUCAAAUUACCCCUGACUCAGUGACCAUAAUGACAACGGCAAGCAUACUAUGCUGCACGGAAGGCAAUCUGCUGUAAGCCGCACAAUGUCCGCGUUACUAAACUUUCAUGAAGUUUAUCAGAACCAGCGAGUUUACGAUGGCAAAAUUUCCGUGGAACACUGUGGCCACAGACAUACAUCCAUUGUCGCAGUUUGAUUUCACGGUGGUUAGUAUCCGCGUUAUGCUCUUCUCGCAAACAUUAGCAAACAUUUUGGGCAGUUUACAGUAUUAGGCUGAGGUGUGCUGUGCUCCUAUGCCGCGCAUUGAUCCGUACUGUGUAUGGCAGGUGUGCUGUGCUCCUAUGCCGCGCAUUGAUCCGUACUGUGUAUGGCAGGUGUGCUGUGCUCCUAUGCCGCGCAUUGAUCCGUACUGUGUAUAGCAGGUGUGUUGUUCAUACCUGACCAUGAUCAGAUGCCAGCCCGGCAGACCCAAGCUAUGUGCAUAGCGUUGUACUACUACAUGCAGUACAUUUCUUUAUCUGGUGGGCACUUCUGUUGUCCUCCGAAUGGGUUAUGACUUAUGAGCUGUUUUGCUUGCUGCCCCCACUUUGGUCUGCAAGCCGUGGCAUCAUCAAGGAUCACCCGCAAUCAUGCAUAACAGGAUAGCUGGAAUUUGAAAAAAAAGCUGCCGGUCACACGCCAUUGUGACAUCAUGUGACCAAACCUGGCCUUUUCACAUAGCUUCUGUUGUUGCCUUCUCUGGUCCCGGGUACACCAUGUACCAUGAUUGUUGCCUUAGUAGAAAGCUCACGGUAAUCCGUGCAGUUAGAGAACUCUGCUGCUUUAAGCCUACAUGUAUUUCGAUGACUUGCGAUUGGUUCGCGGCCAGUUUGUCUCAGCUCUGUUGAGGUUAUCGAACAGGGCUGAACAUGCUAGCUCAGAUCUGGAAACCAAUUUGCUUCAGACCUGGCUUUAUGUUUUUGUCAGUUUUCUUGUUUUUUCUUUUCCCAAAGGCCAACAAUAGACAUGGUUAGCAUUUUACCGUUCACCCUAACUUCGACCGUCGGCUAGUACCGUUUUUUUUUAGUGCCGCCAAGUUUUCGAGACAUGAUUGGCAUUUCGGUUUCUGACAUCGAACGGCUUGCACAGUGUGGA